rnacentral:rRNA from 1 species
GAUGAACGCUAGCGACAGGCCUAACACAUGCAAGUCGAGGGGCAGCACAUGCGUAGCAAUACAAUGGUGGCGACCGGCGCACGGAUGAGUAACACGUAUGCAACCUACCUGUAAGUGGGGAAUAACCCGGAGAAAUCCGGACUAAUACCGCAUAAUACUUUUGAACUGCAUGGUUUAAAAGUUAAACAUUUAUGGCUUACAGAUGGGCAUGCGUAUGAUUAGUUAGUUGGUGAGGUAACGGCUCACCAAGACAUCGAUCAUUAGGGGUUCUGAGAGGAAGGUCCCCCACACUGGUACUGAGACACGGACCAGACUCCUACGGGAGGCAGCAGUGAGGAAUAUUGGUCAAUGGGCGAGAGCCUGAACCAGCCAAGUCGCGUGAAGGAAGACGGUUCUAUGGAUUGUAAACUUCUUUUGUAAGGGAAUAAAAAAGAGUACGUGUACUUUCUUGUAUGUACUUUACGAAUAAGGAUCGGCUAACUCCGUGCCAGCAGCCGCGGUAAAGUAG